AUGCACGCUGGCGGCGUGCCUAAUACCUGCAAGUCGCGCGAACAGACGAGGAGCUUGCUCCUCUGACGUUAGUGGCGGACGGGUGAGUAACACGUGGAUAACCUACCUAUAAGACUGGGAUAACUUCGGGAAACCGGAGCUAAUACCGGAUAAUAUAUUGAACCGCAUGGUUCAAUAGUGAAAGACGGUUUUGCUGUCACUUAUAGAUGGAUCCGCGCCGCAUUAGCUAGUUGGUAAGGUAACGGCUUACCAAGGCAACGAUGCGUAGCCGACCUGAGAGGGUGAUCGGCCACACUGGAACUGAGACACGGUCCAGACUCCUACGGGAGGCAGCAGUAGGGAAUCUUCCGCAAUGGGCGAAAGCCUGACGGAGCAACGCCGCGUGAGUGAUGAAGGUCUUCGGAUCGUAAAACUCUGUUAUUAGGGAAGAACAAAUGUGUAAGUAACUAUGCACGUCUUGACGGUACCUAAUCAGAAAGCCACGGCUAACUACGUG
rnacentral:rRNA from 1 species